AAGCUCGAGUUGAAGAAGACGUUGCUUAAAGCAAAUGAUACCUCUGCUGCAACAGUUGUGGCAAGGGCAGAUCCCAAUAAGGUUAACUUGAGCCAAUUGGUAGAUUUAGCAACGACUUGGUUUGAUGAAAAAUGGAAGGCCAAAUCUGAAAAAAAUAAGGAAUGUCGUGGAAAGCAAAAGGUGGUUCACAGCAUAGGCUCCAAAAGCUAUACCCGAUAUGCUAGUGAGUGGGAAAAAAGGACCGGAGCCUUGCCAAGUCGAGCACAAUUAUUUGUAAAUACCCACAAACGUAAGGAGGACACACAUUUGAAUAAUGAAACGGAAAAAAUAGUGGUAUGU